rnacentral:rRNA from 1 species
GUAGGGAAUCUUCCACAAUGGGCGCAAGCCUGAUGGAGCAACACCGCGUGAGUGAAGAAGGGUUUCGGCUCGUAAAGCUCUGUUGUUAGAGAAGAACGUGCGUGAGAGCAACUGUUCACGCAGUGACGGUAUCUAACCAGAAAGUCACGGCUAACUACGUGCCAGCAGCCGCGGUAAUACGUAGGUGGCAAGCGUUAUCCGGAUUUAUUGGGCGUAAAGCGAGCGCAGGCGGUUUGAUAAGUCUGAUGUGAAAGCCUUUGGCUUAACCAAAGAAGUGCAUCGGAAACUGUCAGACUUGAGUGCAGAAGAGGACAGUGGAACUCCAUGUGUAGCGGUGGAAUGCGUAGAUAUAUGGAAGAACACCAGUGGCGAAGGCGGCUGUCUGGUCUGCAACUGACGCUGAGGCUCGAAAGCAUGGGUAGCGAACAGGAUUAGAAACCCGGGUAGUCC